AUGUCCUGACUGAACCUUAUAUCACGAAGCCAAAAAUCACUCUAAACUUCACCUACCACCUAAUUGCUGUUAGAAAUUCUGUAGGGCUCCUAUCUCCUACCUACCUCUUCUUCCACCGCAAGAACAACUGUUAACUUGGCUGUUUACAUAAACGAGAAAAUUGAGUGAAAUAGAUGAAGGAGGACACAUUGCUAAAGAAGCAACUCCGUAUUUCAACCAGCCUAUUUUAAGUGAUGAUGACGGAUGAAGAAGAAAAUAUGUGGUUCUUUGGCAUCUGGCAUCUGAUGUAUCUUUUAACGUCACAGGUUUACGUCACAGGACUCACUCGUGUAAAGAAAAUGAUAACAGAGAAUAAUGCAAUGAAAAAGCCUAAUGAAUAAAGUGUGCAUAUUUGUUUGCUUAUAUGA